rnacentral:snRNA from 1 species
UAACCUCUCUUCCAGCUGGUUUUGUCACCCCAUUGAUUGCCAAGGUUGAUUCAGCUGAUCUGGCUGGCUAGGCGGGUGCCACCUUCUUCCCUCACCGCUCCAUGUGCGUUCCUCUCGAAGCUGCGUGCUCGGUUGAAGAGGAUGACCGCCCCCGAUAAAGGAGGACCGUUUCCUCCAUCAAGGGUGUACAAGUAGCUGCACUCCCCUGCUAGAACCUCCAAACAAGCUCUCAAGCAUUUCUGUUUUAAUAUUUAGCUAUUUAAUCCAUUUUGAUUUUAGUUUAGUGCAUGGUGAGAGAUAUAAGUCUAGAUUUAAUCUUUGGCAU